CUUAUCUCUUUGUUGCCUCGGCGCAAGCUACCCGGGACCUCGCGCCCCGGGCGGCCCGCCGGCGGACAAACCAAAACUCUUGUUAUCUUAGUUGAUUAUCUGAGUGUCUUAUUUAAUAAGUCAAAACUUUCAACAACGGAUCUCUUGGUUCUGGCAUCGAUGAAGAACGCAGCGAAAUGCGAUAAGUAAUGUGAAUUGCAGAAUUCAGUGAAUCAUCGAAUCUUUGAACGCACAUUGCGCCCAUUAGUAUUCUAGUGGGCAUGCCUGUUCGAGCGUCAUUUCAACCCCUAAGCACAGCUUAUUGUUGGGAACCUACGGCUUCGUAGUUCCUCAAAGACAUUGGCGGAGUGGCAGUGGUCCUCUGAGCGUAGUAAUCUUUUAUCUCGCUUCUGUUAGGUGCUGCCCCCCCGGCCGUAAAACCCCCAAUUUUUUCUGGUUGACCUCGGAUCAGGUAGGAAUACCCGCUGAACUUAAGCAUAUCAAUAGCCGGAGGAAA
rnacentral:rRNA from 1 species